rnacentral:rRNA from 1 species
GAUGAACGCUAGCGGCAGGCUUAACACAUGCAAGUCGAGGGGCAGCGCGAGUAGCAAUACUUGGCGGCGACCGGCGCAAGGGUGCGUAACGCGUGAGCAACAUGCCCGUAUCAGGGGGAUAAUCCAGGGAAACUUGGUCUAAUACCCCAUAGUAAUUUCGUAAGGCAUCUUAUGGGAUUUAAAGCUUUGGUGGAUACGGAUUGGCUCGCGUGACAUUAGCUGGAUGGUAAGGUAACGGCUUACCAUGGCAAUGAUGUCUAGGGGUUCUGAGAGGAAGGUCCCCCACACUGGAACUGAGACACGGUCCAGACUCCUACAGGAGGCAGCAGUGAGGAAUAUUGGACAAUGGAUGGAAAUCUGAUCCAGCCAUGCCGCGUGAAGGAAGAAUGUCCUAUGGAUUGUAAACUUCUUUUGUAUGGGAGCAAUAAGGUAUUCGUGAAUACUGAUGAGAGUACCAUACGAAUAAGCAUCGGCUAACUCCGUGCCAGCAGCCGCGGUAAUACGGAGGAUGCGAGCGUUAUCCGGAUUUAUUGGGUUUAAAGGGUGCGUAGGCUGUUAUAUAAGUCAGUGGUGAAAUAUUCGGGCUCAACCGGGAUACUGCCAUUGAUACUGUAUAGCUGGAAUAUGGUUGCUGGGGUGAUGUGUGGUG